rnacentral:rRNA from 1 species
AAUGAACGCUGGCGGCGUGCCUAACACAUGCAAGUCGAACGAGAAAGCCCGCAAGGGUGAGUACAGUGGCGCACGGGUGAGUAAUACAUAGGAAUCUGCCUCUGAGUGAAGAAUACCCUAGAGAAAUUUAGGUUAAUACUGCAUAAGCCCAGAAAUGGGGAAAGGUGGCCUCAAGCUACCGCUGAGAGAUGAGCCUAUGGCCUAUUAGCUAGUUGGUAGGGUAAAAGCCUACCAAGGCGACGAUCCGUAGCUGGUCUGAGAGGAUGAUCAGCCACACUGGAACUGAGACACGGUCCAGACUCCUACGGGAGGCAGCAGUGGGGAAUAUUGGACAAUGGGCGCAAGCCUGAUCCAGCCAUACCGCGUGGGUGAAGAAGGCCUUCGGGUUGUAAAGCCCUUUUGUUGGGAAAGAAAUCCAGCUGGCUAAUACCCGGUUGGGAUGACGGUACCCAAAGAAUAAGCACCGGCUAACUUCGUGCCAGCCGCCGCAGUAA